GGGAAUGUGGCUUAGUGGUAGAGUGCUUGCCUAACAUGCAUGAGGUCCUGGGUUCGAUUCCUUAGUACCA
rnacentral:tRNA from 1 species